rnacentral:rRNA from 1 species
GUAACACGUGGGUAACCUGCCUUAUGAGGGGGAGUAACAGAGAGAAAUCACUGCUAAUACCGCAUAAGCACACAGUACCGCAUGGUACAGGGUGAAAAGAUUUAUCGCCAUAAGAUGGACCCGCGUCUGAUUAGCCAGUUGGCAGGGUAAAAGCCUACCAAAGCAACGAUCAGUAGCCGAUCUGAGAGGAUGACCGGCCACAUUGGGACUGAGACACGGCCCAA